GACCGCGUGGCGCAAUGGAUAACGCGUCUGCCUUCGAAGCAGAAGAUUGCAGGUUCGAAUCCUGCCGUGGUCG
rnacentral:tRNA from 1 species